CUCACGUGACCGGCGCCGUCCCUAUAUAAAGGGCGCGUAGGGGGGGAGGCGGUCUUUUCAGCCCGUGGUGCUGACGGGCAGGGAGCGGCAGGCGCGGAGCUGCCGUAACAGUUUUGGUGACCCCGAUGGGACCCUGCUUCUAGACGGACAGAUCCGUGGGAUUAUGGGACCUCCAGCCAGCACCGAGGGAUUCUUGGGGAGAACCUCUAAUCCCUGGACCAAAGAGCUUGAAGUAAGACCCCUGGAUAUAAACCCCAAAAGGGACAAGAUACCUCGAGGAAAUAGAAGAUGCAGUGAUUCCCAUCGUUUGGGCAGCAGGAGUUCCAGGAAGGUCUAAGGGAGGAACCAGCAAGAAUUAAUCUAAAACCAGGAUUGUUACGGCUCAAGAUGUCAGCUACUCUCUUCCCUCUUAUGGUUAUGAAACAGAUCUGCCACUGAAUAUGGAGACUUGAUGCUACUUCACAAGGAUUUGAAUCAUGCAAUUGGAAGACUUGCAGAAGAAAUGUCACCUGGCACUGGGUGAUGAAGCUAUAAACUGUGCAAGGCUGCCCUGGACAAAGGAUACCUGUGCCUCCAGUGUGAAAAGCAAUUUCACCUGUUGCUGAUGUUGAUGAAGACAAGGCCUUCCUAAUUGAAGGCUUCCAAAGUGUUUCUCAUUGCAAUGGCCGGUGUGGUGAAGCUGUGAAGUGGUGUGGUUGGUAGUGCUACCAGCAAAAAUUUGAGAAUGGGAGAACUGCUGGCUUACUGGGUGACAGAUGCUUAUUACUUGAGUGAAGCUUGUGGGGAGUUUGUGUAAGAAACGAGACUUACAUCUGAGGGAAGAAGGACUGUACUGUCUGCAACCUCAUUGGGUGAGGAGGCAACUUUGAAACUGCUGUACGAAGAACCAAGAAGGUGGAAGAUUGCAGAAUAAUGGGUUACACUUGCAUGAACAGCAUUAAAAAAGCCAAGAUUUUUUUUUUACCACACUGGUAAUGUUUGCCUGAUACUGAUUGGAAUGAAUAAAAAUUUGUAAACUCUG